UUGCAGGAAGACCUGAGGAAACCAUUUUGCUGGGCUGAUUUUGUGAGAAAAAAUGAAAGAGCACUUUCUCUUUGGGCUGACAUUGCUGAAAAGUCGCAAAUCAAGCAGGAUGGGCCUCUAUGUGACAUAAUGCUGGAAAAAAUUCCUGUAAAACGCAGGAAGUGCGAGGAUGAAACAGAAAAGCUUGUUGGAAAUGUGGAAGAUGCAAUCGCGAAGUUAAUGCAGAUGGACAACUUGGGUCCUAUGCAGCCACGGCUGCAUCACAUUCAACAACAACUGAAGGAAAUUCUUGACAAUCUGUAAAAUAAACGUGCUGAAGUUCACGAGACAAAUAAAUGAGUUUUUAUUCUAA